UGCCAGCAGCCGCGGUAAUACCGGCAGCCCGAGUGAUGGCCGAUCUUAUUGGGCCUAAAGCGUCCGUAGCUGGCUGCGCAAGUCCGUCGGGAAAUCCACUCGCCCAACGAGUGGGCGUCCGACGGAAACUGCACAGCUUGGGUCCGGAAGGCUCGAAGGGUACGUUCGGGGUAGGAGUGAAAUCCCAUAAUCCCGCACGGACCACCGGUGGCGAAAGCGCCUCGAGAGGACGGACCCGACAGUGAGGGACGAAAGCCAGGGUCUCGAACCGGAUUAGAUACCCGGGUAGUCC
rnacentral:rRNA from 1 species